rnacentral:rRNA from 1 species
CCUACGGGUGGCAGCAGUGGGGAAUAUUGGACAAUGGGGGGAACCCUGAUCCAGCGACGCCGCGUGAGUGAAGAAGUAUUUCGGUAUGUAAAGCUCUAUCAGCAGGGAAGAAAGAAAUGACGGUACCUGACUAAGAAGCCCCGGCUAACUACGUGCCAGCAGCCGCGGUAAUACGUAGGGGGCAAGCGUUAUCCGGAUUUACUGGGUGUAAAGGGAGCGUAGACGGCGAUGCAAGUCUGAAGUGAAAGGCGGGGGCCCAACCCCCGGACUGCUUUGGAAACUGUAUGGCUGGAGUGCAGGAGAGGUAAGUGGAAUUCCUAGUGUAGCGGUGAAAUGCAUAGAUAUCGCGCAGAACUCCGAUUGCGAAGGCAGCAUGCCGGCUCCACACUGACGCUGAGGCACGAAAGCGUGGGUAUCGAACAGGAUUAGAUACCCCUGUAGUC